rnacentral:snRNA from 11 species
CUAGCAAGGAACAUUCUGUGAUCACAAAAAUGGUUUUUCUAGGGUCCAUUAUAUUCCACAUAUGCUGACCCCUGUGAUUUCCCAAAAUACAAGAAAUUCGAUGUGUAAUUUGUGGUAGUUGAGGAUUGCAUUCACAUAUUCUCUUU